CGUGAGUAACCUGCCCUGGAUGGGGAAUAACAGCUGGAAACAGCUGCUAAUACCGCAUAAUGCAGUUGGGCCGCAUGGCUCUGACUGCCAAAGAUUUAUCGCUCUGGGAUGAGCUCGCGUCUGAUUAGCUAGUUGGCGGGGUAACGGCCCGCCAAGGCGACGAUCAGUAGCCGGACUGAGAGGUUGGCCCCCCACACUGGGACUGAGACACGGCCCAGACUCCUACGGAAGGCAGCAG
rnacentral:rRNA from 1 species